rnacentral:lncRNA from 1 species
AAAGCAGGGAUAGUGUGUAUCGGUGUUUUGCUAUUAAAAAUGCAUUCUUUCCGAAAGUAUUCCCUUGCAAUAUUAAUUUAGAGAAAAUGGGCAGUUGUGUUUCAUAGUUUUGGUUGAAAAAUCACAACAAUCAUUUUCCCUACAUAUAUUUUUUUUUUUUUAAAUUAAAUUAGGUUGAUUUUAUAAGGGUCUGGAGUUUGGCUCUUUGGCUUAUAAAUCAUGUGCCUUUGAGAUGAAUGCAGAACCCAAUAACAAAAUUAAUCAACUUUCACCAAUUAUUGCUAUGAUGUGUAUUUUUAAAAAUCUAGCGGAUCUAAUUGGUAUGGUAUGGUUGAUAUAUUAUUGUCUUAAAUUGUAAUUAUCGAGUGGUGAUUCAGGCAGCCUACUUGCUACAAUAUAAUAGCAUUUAAGGUGUUUAACUGCUCGUAAAUCAAAUGCUUUUGCUCUUCAGACUUGCUGAGAUUUUUCUCUGAAGCUGGUCUAGUAAGCUCUAGUACAUU